rnacentral:rRNA from 1 species
CGCCAGACUCCUACGGGAGGCAGCAGUGGGGAAUAUUGCACAAUGGGGGAAACCCUGAUGCAGCGACGCCGCGUGAGCGAUGAAGUAUUUCGGUAUGUAAAGCUCUAUCAGCAGGGAAGAAGAUGACGGUACCUGACUAAGAAGCCCCGGCUAACUACGUGCCAGCAGCCGCGGUAAUACGUAGGGGGCAAGCGUUAUCCGGAUUUACUGGGUGUAAAGGGAGCGUAGACGGCGGCGCAAGCCAGAUGUGAAAGCCCGGGGCUCAACUCCGGGACUGCAUUUGGAACUGUGUGGCUGGAGUGUCGGAGAGGCAGGCGGAAUUCCUAGUGUAGCGGUGAAAUGCGUAGAUAUUAGGAGGAACACCAGUGGCGAAGGCGGCCUGCUGGACGAUGACUGACGUUGAGGCUCGAAAGCGUGGGGAGCAAACAGGAUUAGAUACCCGCGUAAG